rnacentral:rRNA from 1 species
CAGCAGCCACGGUAAUGCGAAGGGGGCUAGCGUUGUUCGGAUUUACUGGGCGUAAAGGGCGCGUAGGCGGACUGAUAAGUCAGGGGUGAAAUCCCAAGGCUCAACCUUGGAACUGCCUUUGAUACUGUUUGUCUUGAGUUCGAGAGAGGUAAGUGGAACUGCGAGUGUAGAGGUGAAAUUCGUAGAUAUUCGCAAGAACACCAGUGGCGAAGGCGGCUUACUGGCUCGAAACUGACGCUGAGGCGCGAAAGCGUGGGGAGCAAACAGGAUUAGAUACCCCUGUAGUCCCUGUCUCUUAUAC